GAUUGGGCUGAAAUUUGGCAUGCAGAUAGCUAUUAUGACGUAUACAUCCGCUGAGCAAGUAUUUUUGAAAAUUCAAUUUCUAAAGCGGCAAAACAUGGGUUUGAAAUUCGUGUAGUCCUCGCGGGUAUUUCUUUAUUCCA